rnacentral:rRNA from 1 species
CACGUGGGUAACCUGCCCAAGAGAUCGGGAUAACACCUGGAAACAGAUGCUAAUACCGGAUAACAACAGAUGAUGCCUAUCAACUGUUUAAAAGAUGGUUCUGCUAUCACUCUUGGAUGGACCUGCGGUGCAUUAGCUAGUUGGUAGGGUAACGGCCUACCAAGGCGAUGAUGCAUAGCCGAGUUGAGAGACUUAUCGGCCACAUUGGGACUGAGGCACGGCCCAAACUCCUACGGGAGGCAGCAGUA